rnacentral:piRNA from 1 species
UGCGAGUGCUUGACAGCCGCCUGGUC